CAGAAUUCCGCGAAUCAUCGAGUCUUUGAACGCAAGUUGCGCCCGAGGCUUGACCAAGGGCAUCCCUGCCAGAGCGUCACCGCGACACCCACCGAUCCGCUCCCAGCUAGCUCUGGGAGUGCGACCGAGUGAAGCUGGGCCAUCCGAAUGGGGGCCACACCACCCGGGACUUCGUGUGCCCUUUGGGGGUGGGGGUGGCGGAUUGGGUUGGCUGAAAUGGAGGCAAUUUGGCCGCCGUGGUGACACAGCCCGCGAUCAGGUGAUCCGGGUCUCAUCUUGGAACUACUUCUAGGUGUGGUGCUGUGUCUCCCAGUUGGUACGAUGAGGAUGGAUUCCAAAGCAGGUCCCGGACUCCCCCCCGCUGCGCCCCCGCACUCCCUGCCUUGCGCUCGGAGGGAGGGAGGAGAGGAGGGGAGUGUCCCGAGGUGUAACGUCACGCAUCAGACCUCUGAUCAGGGAAGACCACCCGCUGAAUU
rnacentral:rRNA from 1 species